rnacentral:rRNA from 1 species
AUUGAACGCUGGCGGCAAGCCUAACACAUGCAAGUCGAACGAGUGGCGGACGGGUGAGCAAUGUCGGGGAAACUGCCUGAUGGAGGGGGAUAACUACUGGAAACGGUAGCCAAUCCCGCAUACAAUCCUAUGUGCCCAGAUGGGAGUAGCGAGUAGGUGGGGUAAGGGCUCACCUAGGCGACGAUCCCUAGCUGGUCUGAGAGGAUGACCAGCCACACUGGGACUGAGACACGGCCCAGACUCCUACGGGAGGCAGCAGUGGGGAAUAUUGCACAAUGGGCGCAAGCCUGAUGCAGCCAUGCCGCGUGUAUGAAGAAGGCCUUCGGGUUGUAAAGUACUUUCAGCGGGGAGGCGUUACCCGCAGAAGAAGCACCGGCUAACUCCGUGCCAGCAGCCGCGGUAAUAC